rnacentral:ncRNA from 1 species
UUGAGCCGGAUGCGAGGUGACCCGCACGUCCGGUUCUUAGGGGCGGCGGCGCAGUAAUGCGCCGCUGCUACCCAAC